rnacentral:rRNA from 1 species
UGAAUGGUUUGACGAGAGCUAUGCUGUCUCUUUUGGAAUAUUUAAAAAUUAACUUUUAGGUGAAGAGGCCUAAAUUUGUUUAAGGGACAAGAAGACCCUGUUGAGCUUUAGUAGAACUAUAAAUGUAAUAAAACUUGUGUGCUUGCGGCAGCAGGUAUUAUAUAAUUUUAUAAUAAUAAAUUUAUGGUUAGUCUUUAGUUGGGGCGACUGAGGAACAUAAAAAGCUUCCUUACUGUGUAAAAUAUUAACGUGAUAUUGUAAGUUUUAAAAUGUUUUUAUAUUAUUUUGAUCCAAUUUGUUUUGAUUAAAAGAAAAAGUUACCACAGGGAUAACAGCGUAAUCUUUCUGGAGAGAUCUAAUCGAAAGAAGGGUUUGCGACCUCGAUGUUGGACUAAGAUAUCCUAAGGGUGCAAAAGCUCUUAAAGGUUGGUCUGUUCGACCAUUAAAAUCUU